GGAUUAGAUACCCUGGUAGUCCACGCCCUAAACGAUGUACACUAGUUGUUGCUAUGCUAGACAUAGCAGUAAUGCAGUUAACACAUUAAGUGUACCGCCUGGGGAGUACGGUCGCAAGAUUAAAACUCAAAGGAAUAGACGGGGACCCGCACAAGCGGUGGAGCAUGUGGUUUAAUUCGACGAUACGCGAAGAACCUUACCUGGACUUGACAUAGUAAGAAUAUUUAAGAGAUUAGAUAGUGUCUGCUUGCAGAAACUUGCAUACAGGUGCUGCACGGCUGUCGUCAGCUCGUGCCG
rnacentral:rRNA from 1 species